rnacentral:rRNA from 1 species
GCAAGUCGAACGGUAACAUGAGAGCUUGCUCUUGAGGACGAGUGGCGCACGGGUGCGUAACGCGUAUGCAACCUACCUUUUACUGAGGGAUAGCCCAGAGAAAUCUGGAUUAAUACCUCAUAGUAUCAUAAAUGUUCAUGCAUUAAUGAUUAAAUCUUCGGUGGUAAAAGAUGGGCAUGCGUAAGAUUAGCUAGUUGGUAAGGUAACGGUUUACCAAGGCAACGAUCUUUAGGGGGCCUGAGAGGGUGGUC